rnacentral:tRNA from 2 species
GCCCCCGUAGCUCAGUGGAUAGAGCAUAGGAUUCCUAAUCCUUGAGCGCAAGUUCGAUUCUUGCCGGGGGUACCA